AAGUGAGGACGACCUCACCGCUCUAUGUCACACGGGGACGGCCCC
rnacentral:ncRNA from 1 species